AGUAACCUUCUUUUAAGGUUACCGCUUUACGCAAGCCAGAUAACGUAUAGAUCAUAGUUCUAAGAAUUUAUCCCAAGGAUAUAUCGUCCGAGAAGAAACUGAAUCUAGGUAACGUUGUCGCAGGAAAUCGAGUGUUAAAAAGUGAGGAUUGUCAAAAAUAAUAUCGUGACGUUUGAGCGCUCUCGAUAUCCGAAGUACGAAGCGUAUCGAAGAUAUUCGCUUUUGCUCAUUUUUUUCUCACGAUAAAAAUAUAACUGAACCUCCUAUAUAUCAGCAUUUACAGCGCUAUCAUACAUCAUCACGUUUUCACGACGACAAUACAUGAAUGUGUCUUCAAGUAUUGUUACCGCGUCUUCUGAUAGAUCGCCGGAAAAGGAUUCCUGCACUUUAUGCGGACGUUAAUCAUGAGGGAGGGCACUCUAACUUCUUUGAGAACAGUAGAGUGAUUUAAAAUCCUUGGAAGUUGGUCGCAGCUAAAAAGGGAGUUUGCAAUCAGCCAGGAAGACUUGAAAAAACGCGAGCUCGCAAUUUAAUCAAUCUCCUGGCAAGGUUACGUACAUCAGCGACAACGGGCAUCGCCGUUCGAUCAGGCUCCGAGCAGCUUCCAGCGUACAAAGUGUUAAAGAAGGCCGUUGUACGAACACACAAUUCCCACACAUGCACACGUGCACGUAUAUAUAUGCGCGAGCCGGAGCGCGCGUUCGUUUUAUCGGCUAUCUAAUCGAUAACGUGCUGGUACUCUCUGGCGACCCUGUCGAGUGCAACACGGGACGCGCACACGUACAUAUACGCGCGUCCGUGGUAGCUCGUAUACACACAGGUAACGCCGUGCCGAGUUCAUUAAUCGCAGACGUCCGUUUAAGUAAUGUCGCGUUGCGAACCGGGCUUUGGAAGUCGAUCCGAAGGGCAGCAACCCCUCGCGCUGCCAGGAGUCCUGGAUGACGGGAUGAUAUCCGGAUCCGUCGGAUUGGCAAAGUUUUUUUUUAUAUGUUUCUCUUCCUAAGCAUCCUCGUAAAGUGGAGUUACUUUAUAUUUUUAUGAUUGCGGUCUUCCGACUUUUACGACCACUAUUCCGGAAGAACUUCGGGGUCCAACCCCUCUCUAUGAGGUAAAUUCGUUUGCAUCCGAUCCGAAGAUAUCGAUUCCGCUAAUGCAAACUACAUAAGUUAUGCACACUUUUAUUUAUGAUCAGGAAGUUGUAAAAACACGAUGAGUUAUGUGAAAAUAAAAGAUUCUUCUGGGAAGGUA